ACGCCAAAUUUCGUUAGUCACUUCGAAGCAUAACGUAGGGUUUAAAUUUACUUGACAUCUGGCCUCGCGACUAAACAUUUUAACAAGCUCAAAUCUUUCGAAGCACUUCACGCACGUGUUAUGCGUGCUAAAUGAACGUGACAAUUCUGUUUCAACCAGGAAGUUGUAAAAGAUGAAUUCCAGCGAAAAUGCUUAGAAAUUACAAUUGUUCCAGGAAGUCGUGGACGGUCCAGCCGUGAUCACACUGGUCGUUCUUAUCAACGAGGAUGCCGUAUUACCGAAUCGACUUCCACUGGCCGAGGAGGUCACGUUACUCGUGUUGCUGGUCGUGGUGCACCAUUCUUGGCCGCGUCGAGAUGGCAGCCAGGAUGCGACGAGUACGAAGACACCUCAACGUCCAACGGCAACGACGCGCCG
rnacentral:lncRNA from 1 species